GAAAUGCGAUAAGUAAUGUGAAUUGCAGAAUUCAGUGAAUCAUCGAAUCUUUGAACGCACAUUGCGCCCGCCAGCAUUCUGGCGGGCAUGCCUGCCCGAGCGUCAUUUCAACCCUCGCUCGCCCCUUCGGGGGCGGCGGUGUUGGGGACCGGCCCCGCCCAGCGCGGCGGCCGCCCCCGAAAUGCAGUGGCGGUCCCGCCGGCGCCUCCCCCGCGUAGUAGCAACACCUCGCGGAUCGGGAGCGCUGGCGCGGUACCAAAGCCGUAAAACCACCAACUGAAGGCCCACGGGCCGAAGAGUUUGACCUCGGAUCAGGUAGGAAUACCCGCUGAACUUAA
rnacentral:misc_RNA from 1 species